GAUGAACGCUGGCGGCGUGCCUAAUACAUGCCAGUCGAGCGAACGGACGAGAAGCUUGCUUCUCUGAUGUUAGCGGCGGACGGAUGAGUAACACGUGGAUAACCUACCUAUAAGACUGGGAUAACUUCGGGAAACCGGAGCUAAUACCGGAUGAUAUUUUGAACCGCAUGGUUCAAAAGUGAAAGACGGUCUUGCUGUCACUUAUAGAUGGAUCCGCGCUGCAUUAGCUAGUUGGUAAGGUAACGGCUUACCAAGGCAACGAUGCAUAGCCGACCUGAGAGGGUGAUCGGCCACACUGGAACUGAGACACGGUCCAGACUCCUACGGGAGGCAGCAGUAGGGAAUCUUCCGCAAUGGGCGAAAGCCUGACGGAGCAACGCCGCGUGAGUGAUGAAGGUCUUCGGAUCGUAAAACUCUGUUAUUAGGGAAGAACAUAUGUGUAAGUAACUGUGCACAUCUUGACGGUACCUAAUCAGAAAGCCACGGCUAACUACGUG
rnacentral:rRNA from 1 species